AUUGAACGCUGGCGGCAGGCUUAACACAUGCAAGUCGAGCGGGGGAAGGUAGCUUGCUACCGGACCUAGCGGCGGACGGGUGAGUAAUGCUUAGGAAUCUGCCUAUUAGUGGGGGACAACAUCUCGAAAGGGAUGCUAAUACCGCAUACGUCCUACGGGAGAAAGCAGGGGAUCUUCGGACCUUGCGCUAAUAGAUGGGCCUAAGUCGGAUUAGCUAGUUGGUGGGGUAAAGGCCUACCAAGGCGACGAUCUGUAGCGGGUCUGAGAGGAUGAUCCGCCACACUGGGACUGAGACACGGCCCAGACUCCUACGGGAGGCAGCAGUGGGGAAUAUUGGAAAAUGGGGGGAACCCUGAUCCAGCCAUGCCGCGUGUGUGAAGAAGGCCUUAUGGUUGUAGAGCACUUUAAGCGAGGAGGAGGCUACUCUAGUUAAUACCUAGGGAUAGUGGACGUUACUCGCAGAAUAAGCACCGGCUAACUCUGUGCCAGCCGCCGCGGUAA
rnacentral:rRNA from 1 species